rnacentral:rRNA from 1 species
ACGAAGGGUGCAAGCGUUAAUCGGAAUUACUGGGCGUAAAGCGUGCGUAGAUGGCUUUUUAAGUCGACUGUGAAACCCCUGGGCUCAACCUGGGACGUGCAGUCGAUACUGAGGAGCUUGGAGUCUGAGAGAGGGUGGUGGAAUUCCUGGUGUAGCGGUGAAAUGCGUAGAUAUAAGAAGGAACACCAGUGGCGAAGGCGACCACCUGGACUGAUACUGACACUGAGGUGCGAAAGCGUGGGGAGCAAACAGGAUUAGAUACCCCUGUAGUCC